AAAGAACAUAUAUCUGGGUUUUUUUUUUUAAUUUUUUUUUGGAUGUAAUGUCCUGAAAAUAUCUGUAAAGUCUAACUGUUCAGUUGUGUCAUUUAGGUCUCUGUUGCCUGAUUUUCUGUCUAGAGUUCUGUCCAUUGAUGUGAGUGAGGUGUUAAAAAUCUCCUACUAUUAUUGUAUUCCCAUCAGUUUCUCCUUUUAUUUCUGUUAGUAUUUGUCUUAUGUAUUUGGGUGUUCCCAUAUUCAGGGUAUUUAUACUGAUGAGUCUAAUAUCCUCCUCUUGAAUGGAUCCUUUUAUCAUUAAAUAGUGUCCUUCUUUUUCUUUACGGCCUUUGUUUAUAGUCUAUUUUGGCUGAUAUCAGUAUUGUAACUCCCUCUUUCUUUUCUUUUCCCAGCCUGCCCCUCCAUGUCUUUUGAUUGGAGCAAUCAGUCCAUUCAGUCCAUUGAUAUUUAAGCACACUAUCAAAUGUCAAGGAAAAAGAGCACCAGAAUACACAUGGGAGAAACACGUUUUCUGGAAGAGAGAGAUUUUCUCUAGAAGCCAGGCAAAGGGAAGACCCAAUACCAAGCAAGGAGCAGACACUGAAAAACACACUCAAAAAACAAGAAUAGAAAGAAGAGUGGCAGGAGAGCCGGUAACCCCAAAUCCAGUCGAUUGGAGCAACUACUCAAACACUGCUCACCAGGCUAUUUCAAGAUGAUGUGGCUCUCAGAGGCACUUCACUCAAACCCAAACAACCUCCCCUGUGGAAGAUUCAGAUCAUAACGCACAAGUCCUGGCACUGGAAAGCCUGACGGAAGAGAGAUCCAGAAAGAUGCUUUUUGUCUUCACCCUGAAGAACCUACACCCAGAGAGGUCCAAGUCACAACUAUGGAAUUUUUUGUGAGUUGAAAAAGGGUGUUAUCAAAUAGUGGAAAGUCUAAGGCAAGCGGGUGAAAUAAUUUUCACAAGUAGAAGGAACAAAACAGGAUGCACUUUGAGGUGACCCAAAAAUUAGAUGACGAGAAACAGCUAGAGUUCACGGACCAUCUCCAUUUCACAGUCUGCAAAAAGACACUUUCCAUUUCCCUUCAAGUAAAUAAAUAGAUAAAUGCCUGAAACAGCAGGCUGUUUAGGCAAGGCACCUGCUUCUGAAUGCUUAAGAAUAAUUCUGAAUUAUUGUGUUGCAGCUGUCAGCUCUCUUUUUAAAAAGCAAGGGAAGCAAUGCAGGCUCUUUAUUUGGGCAAACAGAUGAGGUGUCCCUGAUGUCUCAGCAACAGCCUGGUCUGAGUGCUGCAGAAAGGAAGGUACGGGGCUAUAGGAACCUGCCACAGCCAGCAUCUGUGACCUUUACCUCGGCCCCAGAUUGGCGUGUCAGGAAAAAACACACUCACAUCGCCCACCUGCUUCCACCUCAACAUUUGGACAAAGAGCAGAAACGUAGAGAGAGGGUCCAGGGCUCACGCACAUGGAAUAGAAAUGUGUUUAAGUUCACUCAAGUCCUUGGACCCUGUCUGAUAAAUUUAAAAGGGAUUCAGCUCAUCUUCCUGCUUUAAUGGAUGGCUUGAUCUGGGGAAUUUAAGAAAUUAUGUAACUUAAGCCCUCAUAAUUUUGGAAGGAACACUUGAGAGUUCCAUUUAAUGGCCAUACUUGAAAGAAGAAAAAGCCAAGGUCCAUUGGAGCUCAAGAUCAAGGACAAGUGAGCAGUAGAAAUGGUGCUUGAUUUCAGCCCUGGUGAGCUGCCCUCUGGUCCUGGGCUGACCUUUUGCCCUCUCCUCUGGCCGAUGGUGCCUGCAGCUAACUGAUUCUCUGUUGACAAUGACAUACUACCAGCUUCCUGGAGGAGCCCUGCCUCAGGUAAAAUGAGGCAUUUCUUUCACAAAACACUGGUCCCUAAUUGAAUAACCAUUGCUGUGCUCAAUACUACAAGAGACGUGGAUGGUUUAAUUAGUUUUUUAAAUAAGUGGCAAGAAA